GCGCCUCGUGAAUUCAUCUCCGGGGGUAGAGCACUGUUUCGGCAAGGGGGUCAUCCCGACUUACCAACCCGAUGCAAACUGCGAAUACCGGAGAAUGUUAUCACGGGAGACACACGGCGGGUGCUAACGUCCGUCGUGAAGAGGGAAACAACCCAGACCGCCAGCUAAGGUCCCAAAGUCAUGGUUAAGUGGGAAACGAUGUGGGAAGGCCCAGACAGCCAGGAUGUUGGCUUAGAAGCAGCCAUCAUUUAAAGAAAGCGUAAUAGCUCACUGGUCGAGUCGGCCUGCGCGGAAGAUGUAACGGGGCUAAACCAUGCACCGAAGCUGCGGCAGCGACGCUGAUGCGUUGUUGGGUAGGGGAGCGUUCUGUAAGCCUGUGAAGGUGUGCUGUGAGGCAUGCUGGAGGUAUCAGAAGUGCGAAUGCUGACAUAAGUAACGAUAAAGCGGGUGAAAAGCCCGCUCGCCGGAAGACCAAGGGUUCCUGUCCAACGUUAAUCGGGGCAGGGUGAGUCGACCCCUAAGGCGAGGCCGAAAGGCGUAGUCGAUGGGAAACAGGUUAAUAUUCCUGUACUUGGUGUUACUGCGAAGGGGGGACGGAGAAGGCUAUGUUGGCCGGGCGACGGUUGUCCCGGUUUAAGCGUGUAGGCUGGUUUUCCAGGCAAAUCCGGAAAACUAAGGCUGAGGCGUGAUGACGAGGCACUACGGUGCUGAAGCAACAAAUGCCCUGCUUCCAGGAAAAGCCUCUAAGCAUCAGGUAACAUCAAAUCGUACCCCAAACCGACACAGGUGGUCAGGUAGAGAAUACCAAGGCGCUUGAGAGAACUCGGGUGAAGGAACUAGGCAAAAUGGUGCCGUAACUUCGGGAGAAGGCACGCUGAUAUGUAGGUGAAGUCCCUCGCGGAUGGAGCUGAAAUCAGUCGAAGAUACCAGCUGGCUGCAACUGUUUAUUAAAAACACAGCACUGUGCAAACACGAAAGUGGACGUAUACGGUGUGACGCCUGCCCGGUGCCGGAAGGUUAAUUGAUGGGGUCAGCGCAAGCGAAGCUCUUGAUCGAAGCCCCGGUAAACGGCGGCCGUAACUAUAACGGUCCUAAGGUAGCGAAAUUCCUUGUCGGGUAAGUUCCGACCUGCACGAAUGGCGUAAUGAUGGCCAGGCUGUCUCCACCCGAGACUCAGUGAAAUUGAACUCGCUGUGAAGAUGCAGUGUACCCGCGGCAAGACGGAAAGACCCCGUGAACCUUUACUAUAGCUUGACACUGAACAUUGAGCCUUGAUGUGUAGGAUAGGUGGGAGGCUUUGAAGUGUGGACGCCAGUCUGCAUGGAGCCGACCUUGAAAUACCACCCUUUAAUGUUUGAUGUUCUAACGUUGACCCGUAAUCCGGGUUGCGGACAGUGUCUGGUGGGUAGUUUGACUGGGGCGGUCUCCUCCUAAAGAGUAACGGAGGAGCACGAAGGUUGGCUAAUCCUGGUCGGACAUCAGGAGGUUAGUGCAAUGGCAUAAGCCAGCUUGACUGCGAGCGUGACGGCGCGAGCAGGUGCGAAAGCAGGUCAUAGUGAUCCGGUGGUUCUGAAUGGAAGGGCCAUCGCUCAACGGAUAAAAGGUACUCCGGGGAUAACAGGCUGAUACCGCCCAAGAGUUCAUAUCGACGGCGGUGUUUGGCACCUCGAUGUCGGCUCAUCACAUCCUGGGGCUGAAGUAGGUCCCAAGGGUAUGGCUGUUCGCCAUUUAAAGUGGUACGCGAGCUGGGUUUAGAACGUCGUGAGACAGUUCGGUCCCUAUCUGCCGUGGGCGCUGGAGAACUGAGGGGGGCUGCUCCUAGUACGAGAGGACCGGAGUGGACGCAUCACUGGUGUUCGGGUUGUCAUGCCAAUGGCACUGCCCGGUAGCUAAAUGCGGAAGAGAUAAGUGCUGAAAGCAUCUAAGCACGAAACUUGCCCCGAGAUGAGUUCUCCCUGACUCCUUGAGAGUCCUGAAGGAACGUUGAAG
rnacentral:rRNA from 1 species